rnacentral:lncRNA from 1 species
UGGUACUUUUCAUCUUGUUUUCCAGAGUCUCAUAUUAGGACCUGGCUUGCUUAGUAAGCUAGAGUGGUUAGCCAGUGAGCUCCAGAGAACUGCCUUGCUCUGUCAUCCCAAUGCUGGAUUAUAGAUAUGCACCACCACACCCAGGUUUAUUAACAUGGAUUCUGGAGAUGGAAUUCAGGUCCUCAUGCUUCUGUGCUAUCUCGAUGACAAGCUCUGUAAAAAUGCUACUAGCUUUGCUCAGUCUGGAAUGUAAUGCUUAGGAUGUCUGCGUGCAAUGUACAGAGACAUUUAACACUGUCCACGGUGGCCUGUGGUGAUGUGUUCUCCUGGAGGAAAGAAUGUACACAAAGCCAUGUGAGCAGCUUUGUGAUUCUCUUUGCCUACUGCUGCAUUUCUGUGACCGC